CGACCUCAGGUCAGACGUGGCGACCCGCUGAAUUUAAGCAUAUUAGUCAGGCGGAGGAAAAGAAACUAACGAGGAUUCCCUCAGUAACGGCGAGUGAAGAGGGAAGAGCCCAGCGCGAAUCCCGGGCGCGGAGGUGUGGCGUACGGAAGCCCCAUCCCCGCGCGCUCCGGGGGCCCAAGUCCUUCUGAUCGAGGCCAGCCCGCGGACGUGUAGAGGUACGGGCGGCGCGCCAGUCGGGCUGGAAUGCAGCCCCACGGCGGCACGGCGGAAUCCGGGGGCGGCGUGCCGAAGUCGGGUGCGGUGGGAAUUGCAGCGGAGUUCCACCGCGGGGCGGGGCGGGGCCAGGGGGGGCGGGGGGCGGGGACCGGCCGCCGGCGGGCGUCCGCCCCCGUCGGGCGCAUUUCCUCCGCGGCGGGUGCGCCGCGACCGGUCCGGGACGGCUGGGAAGGGCUGCGGGGCAGGUGGCCGGCGCGGCGAGCGGCCGCGGGUUAUAGCCGCGGGCCGGAUGUCGCCGAGUCCGCGGGCCAGAGGGAGGGACCGCCGCCGCGCCCUCCCCGGAGGGGCGCCCCCCGGAGGGCCCCCGGCCGGACCCGGCGUCGGCCGCCGCGCGCGCGCGCGUCCGCGCCGCCGCCGACGCCGCCCCUCGCUCUCUCUCCGUUCCCCGCCCGGGUCCGUCCCCGGGCGGGUCCGGCGCGCGGCUGCGGCGCGGGCGGCGCGCGUGUGGCGCGCGCCUCCAGCCCGCGCGGGCGAGCCGCGGGGGGCGCCGGGGGGAACCUUCCCCCUUCUGUUCGGCGCGUCGUCCGCGGGGGCGGCCGCCGGCGCCCCGCCCCGCGGCUCCCGCGCCGACCGCGGCCGCCGCCGGCCCCCGCCCGCCCGCCCCCCCCGCCCCCCCCCGCACGUCUGACCGUACGGACCAAGGAGUCUAGCACGCGCGCGAGUCGGCGGCUCGCGCGAAAGCCCGCGGGCAAUGAAGGUGAGGCGGAAUCCGGGGGGGAGGGGGGCGCGGCAGGGGGGGGCCGGAGGCCCCGCCACCCCGGCCUAUGCCGCUGCAACCAGAGCCCGUGCGCCGACGUGCAAAUCCGCCAGGGCGAACCAUCUAGUAGCUGGUUCCCUCCGAAGUUUCCCUCAGGAUAGCUGGCGCUCGGGGCGGCGGUGCAGUUUUACCCGGUAAAGCGAAUGAUUAGAGGUCUUGGGCCGAAACGAUCUCAACCUAUUCUCAAACUUUCAAUGGUAAGACGCCCGGCUCGCUGGCGUGGAGCCGGGCCGUGGAAUGCGAGCGCUCAGUGGGCCUUUUGGUAAGCAGAACUGGCGCUGCGGGAUGAACCGAACGCCGGGUUAAGGCGCCCGAUGCCGACGCUCAUCAGAGCCCAGAAAAGGUGUUGGUUGAUCUAGACAGCAGGACGGUGGCCAUGGAAGUCGGAACCCGCUAAGGAGUGUGUAACAACUCACCUGCCGAAUCAACUAGCCCUGAAAAUGGAUGGCGCUGGAGCGUCGGGCCCAUACCCGGCCGUCGCCGGCGGUGCGGAGCCGCGGGGCUACGCCGACGAGUAGGAGGGCCGCUGCGGUGCGCCUGGAAGCCUGGGGCGGGGCCCGGGGGAGGCCGCCGCAGGUGCAGACUUGGUGGUAGUAGAACUAUUCAAGACGAGAGCUUGAAGGCGAAGGGAGCAGGGUCCAUGUGACAGCAGGUUGAACAUGGUCAUCGUCCGUAACGAUAGGCGAGCCCGUUCGAAGGACGGCGAUGCCUCCGUUCCCUCAGCCGAUCGAAAGGGAGUCGGUCAAUCCCGAAUCCGGGCCGGCCGGACGGCCCCGAGGCGCCAGUCGGUACCGCAAGCAGACCCUAGAAGCCGUCUCCCCGGAGAGUUCUCUUUCUUGUGAAGCCGGCGCUCUGGAUACGGGUUCGCCCGAGAGAGGGAGCCGCGCCUUGAAACGUCUCUUUCCUCCCUGGUCCGUGAGGGGGGUCGGCGGGCCGAUCCGGUCCGGCCCCACCUCCGCGCCGGGGGGGGGGGGCGCCCCCUCGCCUCGGCCUGGAAGGCCGCCUAGCCAGCCGGCUUUAGAACUGGGGUGCGGACCAGGGGGAAAUCCGACUGUUUAAUUAAACAAAGCAUCGCGAAGCCGGUGUAGCGAUGUGAUUUCUCAGUGUCUGAAUGUCAAAGUGAAGAAAUUCAAUGAAGCGCUAUAAUAUAUUAAUAUGAUCUUUUAAGGUAGAAAUCCUCUAUCUAAAAAGCGCAUUGAAUAAAAGAGAUUACUUCCUUACCUACUUCCAGCGGAACCAGAACUAACAGCGAGGAAGACCAGCGACUCUGUCGGCGCGGUGUUAAGCGAGUCAGGGGCCAGAACCUCCCGUGGAGAAAGGGCAAAAGCUCGCUUGAUCUGAUUUUAGUACGAAUACAACCUGAAGCACUCAGAGACGAGUUAACAACGGUUGUAAGGAUAUGCGAGUCCGCUUUUGAUCCUCGAUGUCCUCUUCCUAUCAUUGUGAAGCAGAAUUCACAAGGUUGAUUGUUCACCACUAAUAGGACGUGAGGGGGGACCGUCGUGAGACAGGUUAGUUUUUAUGAGGUGUGUUGUUGCGCUAGUAAUCCUGCUCAGUACGAGAGAACGCAGGUUCAGACAUGGUGUAUGUCUUGGCUGAGGAGCCACUGGAGGAGGCCAUCUGGGAUUAUGCUGAACGCUCUAAGUCAGAAUUAAACGAGAUACCGCAGCGCCCGAGGCGCCUCGCGUGGGCUCGCGAUAGCCGGCCCGCCCGCCCCCCCUCGGGCGGGCGGUCGGUGCGGAGCGCCGCUCGUGGUCGGGGACCGGAGCGCGGGACAGAUGUGGCGCUCGCCUCUCCCCGCCGCGUACCGCAUGUUCGUGGGGAACCGGUGCUAAAUCAUUCGUAGACCGACCUGAUUCUGGUCGGGGUUUCGUACGUAGCAGAGCAGCUCCCUCGCUGCGAUCUAUUGAGAGUCAGCCCUCGACACAAGCUUUUGU
rfam:Gallus gallus breed Red Jungle fowl, inbred line TCD001 Contig12136.1, whole genome shotgun sequence. [11-NOV-2016]